rnacentral:lncRNA from 1 species
AUGCUUGCGGCUGGGCCAACCAGGAAAUCUCGGGCAUUAAUAAGAGUAAGGGAGCCCGGCCCUCGACGGCGCCGGCACGGGAACGGAGGGGCUGCGUGCAGCAGAUCAGAGUUGAAUCUUCACACAGGCAGGCUGUCUCGCAGCCCAAUCCUAGGCACCCUGGAACACCCCCUAAACGUUUCACCCCUUCGGCUCCCCACUCCCACGUCAACUUCCGCAGGACAAAAGCACCGCGGUCCGAGAGGUGAACCCGGCCAACGCGGAGGGGCGGUACUGACCCCAGCAGCAGGAGCAGCGACCCGUCCACCGGGUCUUUCAGGGGGCCCCAUCGCUGAGCCUGGCCCGUCUCCCCAAUCUGCCCCGGACAGAGGCGGGGAAGAGAGAAAGCCCAGCGCUAAACUCCGCCACCGCCGCCUCACCUCUGUCCCCGCGACCCCCAGAGCUCGCCCCGUUCUGGGGCCUCCCGGUUCCGGCUCACGGCAGGACCCCCGCCGGACACUUGCCCACUCCCCGGAGCGCACCGCUUCCUCCCAACCCCGGAGAGAGGACCCGCGCCUCCCGCCUUCCCGCACCGCGCGCGCCCGCCGGCCCCCAGCCAGCUCCGCACCGGCACUUCCCGCCCGGCCCACGCGGGCUCGCGGUCCACCCCAACUUUUCCGGCUGCGGCCCCGGCCCCCGCAGCGGCAGCGACGCCUGGUUCGCAGCCACGACAGGCGCGCGAGCCCGCGUCCGCUCAGCCUCCGCCCGCCCCGCGGCACGAGUUGCGCUCGGGACCCGCGCGGCGCCCGGGCCUCGGUCGGCAGCCCGCCGCGGAGGCGGAGGCGGAGCCGGCGUGGCGGGAACCGCGCUGUCCCGGCACCACAACCCCGCCGGUGCCCGGUGCCCCGCCGCGCCGCUCUCGCCCACCUGCCGCGGACGCCCGCGCCGCUCACCUCAGCGCCGCCGCCACCGCUGCCGGGAAUACGUGGCAGUGGCCGCCGCCGCUCGCGCUCCCCGCCUCGCCUCGCCUCUCCUCUCAGCGCCCGCGCGGGCGGCUCCGGCGCGCUGGACCGCAGCGCCGGGCGCCCUCUGCCGCCGGGAAGCCGAAUCCUCCCGCCCUAA